rnacentral:lncRNA from 1 species
GACCCACUGGAGGCCUGGUCCGAGGAGGUGGCACAGGACGGACCAGGAUGGGGAGACCCACUGGAGGCCUGGUCCGAGGAGGUGGCACAGGACGGACCAGGAUGGGGAGACCCACUGAAGGCCUGGUCCUGGGAGGUGGCACAGGACUCACCAGGCUGGGGAGACCCACUGAAGGCCUGGUCCUGGGAGGUGGCACAGGACGGACCAGGAUGGGGAGACCCACUGGAGGCCUGGUCCUGGGAGGUGGCACAGGAUGAACCAGGAUGGGGAGACCCACUGGAGGCCUGGUCCGAGGAGGUGGCACAGGACGGACCAGGAUGGGGAGACCCACUGAAGGCCUGGUCCUGGGAGGUGGCACAGGACUCACCAGGCUGGGGAGACCCACUGAAGGCCUGGUCCUGGGAGGUGGCACAGGACGGACCAGGAUGGGGAGACCCACUGGAGGCCUGGUCCUGGGAGGUGGCACAGGAUGAACCAGGAUGGGGAGACCCACUGGAGGCCUGGUCCGAGGAGGUGGCACAGG